rnacentral:miRNA from 1 species
CCUCGACUCGUAGGUUGGCAGAUG